ensembl:lncRNA
UGCAUUUGAUGUAGUCUCUCGGUGUAGGUUCAGGUUUUCUAGCCAUUUUUUCCUGAUCUAAAUCUUAUUUUAAAAAUUUUCUGAAGAAUGAUGACAUUAAUCUAUUGAUAUGUCACAAUCCUGAAGCUCAAACCUUUUUUCCUUUUAAAGGCUAGGCAAAUGAAGCAGUAGGAGUGGAAAAGGAACAAAGACAUCUGUAACCGGUUGUGAUCGAUUAGCUGCAAACACCGCUGCACGAGGACCUGCCCAAACCUGCUCCUUAACCAGCUGACUUUCUGGUUGCUCAGCUGUGAGCCUCCUGCAAAAGCAAGGCGUCAGCCGGCCCAUGCUUCCUCUGCAGCUCUGCAUGGAAUCCUGACCUUGCCUCUUACUGGCUUGUGAAGGUGGCCAUUGACCUUUGGCAUUCCUUUGCUUCUGCAGCUGCAGCACUUCCUCUCUUCCCCAGUUGUCAUGUGGCAUUCUUCCUGAAACAUAAGGAAUUCAUGAAUUGUGACACAGUUCUUAAGAGCCUAACCAAGUUGGCUAUGUCCUUCCCUGUAAGUUAUCUGUAUCCUGUAUAGUAGAAAAAAUAAUGAAUAAAAUACGGUAAACUUCUGCCUUAAUUUUUUCAAGCAAACAUUAUUUUGUUCCUUCUCUGUCUCAGGUACUGUUCAAAGUCUUAGAAAUAUAAUGGCGAAAAAGAUAAGCAAAAUGCAUGUCCUAAAUAUCUUACAUUCUUGCUUGGGAAGAUAUAAUAAACAGGUAUAUAUUUAAAUACAUAGUUAUUUCUAGAAGGUUUAACCUCUGUAAAGGAAAUAAAGCUGAGUAUAGGAUCUGCAUGGGUAGAUUGUUUUUAGAUAAAUAAUCAUGGGAGGACUCUGAAGAGUAUAAUAUAAAAAUCUUUAAAUUUUUUUGUUAUGCUAGAGUUUUGCUCUUGUCACCUAGGCUGGCUCAGCUCACUGUAGUCUCCACCUCCUGGGUUCAAGUAGUUCUCCUGCCUCAGCCUCCCAAGUAGCCGGGAUUACAGGAGUGUGUGACCACAUCCAGCUAAUUUUCGUAUUUUUAGUAGAGACUGGUUUUUGCCAUGUUGGCCAGGCUGGUCUUGAACUCCUUACCUCAGAUGAUCUGCCCAGCUCAGCCUCCCAGAGUGCUGGGAUUCAGGUGUGAGCCACCGUGCCUGGCCUUUAAAAUGUUUAAUAAACAGAAAAGUGCAUAAAAAUUAUGCAUCGAGGCAUCCCUCAUCAUUUUUUUUGGCAUGUUCACUAUGUAGAUCAAGUGAUGGACCCGUUCAACGCUUCAGAAUUUUUUUUUAUUGCUCCUUCCCUGUCAAUAGUUUAUUAUUGAACUGCAUAUUGAAUAUUUGAAAUAAUAUUUGAGUAACAAUAAGAAAUCAAUCAUAAAAAUCUGUAAGCAGAGUGUUCUAGGUCAAGGCAACAGCAAAUGCCAAGAUUCUGGGGCAAGAAAAAUCUUGCUGUUUAAGGCACAACGUUAAUGUCAAAGUAGCUGUAACACAGUGACACAGAAAAAUAACAGACGAUGAUGUCCGUUACGCAGUAGACAAGCUAUGUAAGGCUCUGUUAGUUACACAAAAUAAUCUAGAUUUUUCUAUUUCCAAUGUGGAGCCCACUGAAAGGAUACAGUCAGCGUGAGAUACCAUUGAUUUUUUAAGCCAUUUAUUGUAAGAUAGUUCAUUCGGAGAGAAUGUGAAGGCUGGGCAUGGUGGCUCAUGCCUAUUAAUCUCAACAUUUUGAGAGGCCAAGGCAGGUAGAUUGCUUGAGCCCAGGAGUUAAAAACCAGCCUGGUCAAUAUAGCAAAGCCCUAUCUCUACAAAAAAAAUAUAUAUAUAUAUAAAGUCUCAGCUGCUUGGGAGACUGAAGCAGGAGGAUUGCUGGAGCCUCAAAGAGCAACCACAGUGAGCUGUGAUCACACCACAGCAAUCUAGCCAGGGCGACAGAGUGAAACUUUGUUUCAAAGAAACAAGAAAGAAGGAAAGUAUGUGAAGACUGAACUAUGAUGUUGGGUAUAGAAGCAGGGACACGAAGGAGAUUGUACACAACAAAAAUAAGUGAUGGAGAUGUGAAUUACGGUAGCGGCAGUAGAGGAGGUAAGAAUAUGUAGGGUUUAUUUGAUUCAAUCAAAAUACAAGGAAAUAAAGCAAAGUAAUUGGAAAGACUAAUUGAAUGAGGCAUCUUCAAGGCAGAAAUAAAUUGAGGGUGAUCCAUAGGCAUAUGAAACUAAACCGGGAAUGGAAAUAUUCACUGGGAUGUAGGAUGUAGAAUACUUUGGGAAGAAUAAUUUUGAAAAGAGUUAAGAAUAUAUACAAAGUCAUGGUUCAGUUUUGGCAUUUGUGUUUGAGAUGUCUUUUCUUCGUGACCAGUGAGCAAAAUAUAUAAAUCUGUGGUUAAAAGGAAAGGUUUAGAUAGAUUUGAAUUAGAUUUGAGAAUAUUUGCAUAGCUACGAAUUAGAUUUUUUAGAAUUGAAACCAUGAGACAGAAUAAAAUUACUCAAGGACAGAGUACAGAUAGAGAAACAAAGAGCCUCAAACCUUGAGGCAUGUCAGCGUGGGAGUACACACUAGCAAGGGGGAUCCAGAAGGAUUAGGCAGAGAGACGAGAGAAAAAUAAGAGAAUGAGGUAUAAUAAAAACCAAGUGAAACAAUCUGUCAGACUCAAUGUCACAGAGAUUUUAAUCAGGUGAAAGUUUGAGAAUUGUCUAUGGUAUUUGGCAAGAAAGAGAUCUUUGCUAUGCAAAGAGUUCCUAUUUUAGUCUAAAAUAUCUUUAUUGAUUUAUUAUUCAAAAAGAAUUCAUGCAGAAUCCAUGGACUCCUUUUGAAGGAAAUAUUUACUAACUUGAAGGUCUCCUGGUGCUUGAAUCAUACACAGUUAUCAGCAAGGCCACAUCCUCACUGAGAAAAGCAAACAAAAAUAAUGCUAAGAGGUAUAUAUCUGAGUAUACCCUUAAUAAUAUUAUCUCUGAUGACAGCUUUUUAACAUCUAAUAAAGUCUGUUACCCUCAGUCUGACAGUAUUUGUCUUAAUACCUUUUUAUGAAUGCGAUUCUAAAUUCGGACAGAGAAAAAUCAUUAUAAAUUUAUUUUCCCGAAGCAGGUG